GACGUAGGGCGCGAGCGUUGUCCGGAUUUAUUGGGCGUAAAGAGCUCGUAGGCGGCUUGUCGCGUCGAAUGUGAAAACCUGAGGCUCAACCUCAGGCCUGCAGUCGAUACGAGCAGACUAGAGUGUUGCAGGGGAGACUGGAAUUCCUGGUGUAGCGGUGAAAUGCGCAGAUAUCAGGAGGAACACCGGUGGCGAAGGCGGGUCUCUAGUACGGUACUGACGCUGAGACGCGAAAGCGUGGGGAGCAAACAGG
rnacentral:rRNA from 1 species